AGGAUUAACGCUGGCGGCGUGCCUAACACAUGCAAGUCGAACGAGGUAGCAAUACCUAGUGGCAGACGGGUGAGUAGCGCGUGGUCAACCUACCGUUGAGUGGGGGAUAACUAGCCGAAAGGUUAGCUAAUACCGCAUACGUCUCCGAGGGGCAUCCCUUGGCGAUAAAAGGAGCAAUCCGCUCGAUGACGGGACCGCGUCCCAUUAGCUAGUUGGUGGGGUAACGGCCUACCAAGGCAUCGAUGGGUAGCUGGUUUGAGAGAGCGACCAGCCACACUGGGACUGAGAUACGGCCCAGACUCCUACGGGAGGCAGCAGUGAGGAAUUUUCCGCAAUGGGCGAAAGCCUGACGGAGCGACGCCGCGUGUGGGAAGAAGGCCUUCGGUCGUAAACCACUGUCGAAGGGGAAGAUAAUGACGGUACCUUGGAGGAAGCCCGGCUAACUACGCGCCAGCAGCCGC
rnacentral:rRNA from 1 species